GUCUUUUUCACUCUGUUCAAGUGUUUGUUUUCCUCUGUUGCCCAGCAGUCGUACGAUUUGUCCUGACGUGUCCUGACAUGCCCCGAUAUGCAUGCUUUCCUUUGUUGACGCUUAGUAUUUUUUUCUCUUUUGACAAGGAACAUUGUUGUCUUGACGAUAGUGCUGCCCUGAGUUCUGCGCGCGUUGAUUUGUUGAGUGCCUAGUCCUCUUAUUAGCCGUUGAUGGAGUUACAUGUUAGGAUAUUUUGUUCUUUUGCAAGUCUCAUUUAGUAAGACUUUGGAAUUCCUUCGAUCAGCUUUCAUGCAUGGUGCUCUUCUGCAAUAGUUUCCUAUGCAAUCGUUAUAGAAGAAUAAAGGAAAUAAUCUUGGGAUAGUGAUUCAAUAAAUAAUAGGUCCCCUGUCUAGAGCGCACGCGUCCUUGAGCCACGCAGGUGCAUGAUGACGUCAUACCGUGGCUUCACUGCAGAUUGACCAAAGGAGCAUUAGUGGAAAAAAACAGUGUAGCCCUGAGACAAUAGGAUGAUGUCUGGACCAAUGAGAACUGCCAGCAGGGGGCGCAGGAAUGCUCUUCUCACUUAUGGCGAUUUCGGGUGGUGCAUUUGGGGCACUUUUUUCUGCCCCGAACCCGAGCGGUAAAUUCGGGUGGUGCGGUCCGAGCAAGAGCCGCGUGUUCGGAUGAUGCACUACGGAGCAGUUUGCUCGCCCCAAGAGCACUUUUUUGGCUCUUGCUGCGAGAGGCCGAGCCAAAACCGCCCUCAACUCUCUUCUUCCGCUCUCGACGGCGAGCAUGCGCAUAUAUGCGCCUCGCGAGUGUCGUCUGCUACGUAUUGCUCCUGCGGCUGUCUGCCUGUCAUCUGUCUCUUUGUCGCGUUCACCAUUGACGGCAUGGAUCUUUACGAAAGUAGUAGCGAUGAAAGUUCAAUUGACACCGAUAAUGUGAAUGACAAAGAGGAUGAUGUGACCUGCUCCUCGCAAGCUAUGCUUGUGAUCCGGUGAAAGUGCGCGACGACGCCAACGACGCUGCCGGAAGUUCACGAACACGACGAACGCACAAUGCUAGCGAGCGCAGCGACCCUCGUCGAAGAGCGUCCGACAAAUUCGGGUGAUGACUGCCCCAGAGCGACUCUCGUGUAGAGCGUGCACUGGACCUGGGCGCUCUCGCUCGGAUUACCAGGUGCAUCACCCGAAAUCGCCAUUAGCCUCACGACCAAUGAGAACUGCCAGCAGGGGGCGCAGGAAUGCUCUUCUCUCUUAGCCUCUCGCAGGUGGCGGUAGGAGUGCGCAGAGGGCGCUACGAGCGCGCGCAUGCGUAGCACCCGUAGAGUGGCGCUUACGUCAGUCCACCUCUGGCUCUCGUUGGGAGAAGACGUGUGGUCGUUCGCUCCGUCGCCACUUGAUCCCUGGCUGUCGACGAGAGCAGUCGCAUCGGUCUGCGCUCCUACUGUGAGCUGUCCUAACCUGCCCAGACAUGCCAUGAUGACGUCACAGCUGACGUCACAGGAUGUGCGGAACUGGUGCUGCGAUGCUUUGCAACCUGCCUCAGUGCUCCGUCGCCCAGCGGCCUUUCCGGGCCGCUUUCUUCAAGAUGAUGUCGUUGAUCUUCAACUAAACUCCUUCUCUCCACUCUAUCUCUAUCUUUUUACGGCUUCUUCGCCGCGGCAUCGUUGAUUUUCGAAUAAAUUGUUUCUCUCCACUCUA